AGCUUCAGCGAUGGAUCGUCGAUUCGCGUAUCGAUGAAAAACGCAGCUAGCUGCGUUAUUUUACACGAAUUGCAGACGCUUAGAGUGUAAAAUUUUGAACGCAUAGCGCCGUUGGGUUUUCCCUUCGGCACGUCUGGUUUCAUGUUUGUUAAUGAAACGACUACAGUGGGCUAGUUCAUAACACUGUUUGUCGAAUGGUAUUUAUUACUUUAUUGUGAUAUUCCCAUUCCAUUCAAGAAUAUGAAAUACAACAUGACGUUAACAUUGUUAACGUUACUGAAUGAUACUGAAUAUAUUACCACUAUUUGAAUGUACUCAAUGAAUAUGAGAUUGAUUCAAAUAGGGACAUGUAUGGUAUUGUAUAUCAAUGUAUCAUUUAUAUAUUGCACACCUGAACUCAGGCGUGAUUACCCGCUGAACUUAAGCAUAUCAUUUAGCGGAGGAAAAGAAACUAACAAGGAUUCCCUUAGUAACGGCGAGUGAACGGGGAGAAGCCCAGCGCUGAAUCUUACAGUGUUACACUGUUAAGAAAUGUAUCGUAUAGAUAUAAUUUUCAGUUUGUGCUACAUGUCCAAAGUCCCUUUGAUAGGGCCACAAUCCUGAGAGGGUGCGAGACCUGUGCGGACAGUGGAGCAAGCUGUACGAUUAUAAUCUUAGAGUCGGGUUGCUUGAAGUGCAGCCUAAAGUGGGUGAUAAACUUCAUCUAAGGCUAAAUAUAGACGCGAAUUCGAUAGCAAACAAGUACUGUGAAGGAAAGUUGCAAAGAACUUUGAAGAGAGAGUUCAAGAGAACGUGAAAUCGCUGGAGUGGAACCGGAAGAGUUGACGUAACCGGGUAACUAAGUUCCUAAUGUCGCUUAAUUGUGACUGCAGGUGAUGUAUGUGCCUAUGUUUCGCUGACAGCAUUGCCUGUGCGUUCUGCCCGUUUGUGUUGCCCACUUCGUGGUGUCUUACUUACGGUUAAGUUUGUCAUGGCUAAUUUUUUAUCCUGCUUGCAGGGUGUCAGUGUGAAAGUCGACCACCUCUCCGACCCGUCUUGAAACACGGACCGAGAGUGUAACUGUACGCGAGUCAAAGGGUGGUUAAACCCUAAGGCUAAUGAAAGUAAAGGUCGGUUAACCGGCUGACAUGGAUCUACUUUUCGAAGUAGCGCACCAUGGCCCUGUCUUGUCUGCAUGCAGAUGGGCAGCGGUAGAGCGUACAGGUUGCGACCCGAAAGAUGUGAACUAUGCCUGAGCAGACGAAGUCAGAGGAAACUUGAUGGAAGUCCGUAUCGGUUCUGACGUGCAAAUCGAUCGAUAGACUUGGGUAUAGGGGCGAAAGACUAAUCGAACCAUCUAGUAGCUGGUUCCCUCCGAAGUUUCCCCCAGGAUAGCUGGAGUUCAUCGCGGUUAUAUCCGGUAAAGCGAAUGAUUAGAGACUUGGGGUCGAAACGACCUCAACCUAUUCUCAAACUUUCAAUGGGUAUGUUGUCUCGGUUUCUUUAUUGAACUGUUGACACGAACGCGAGCUCCCAAGUGGGCCAUUUUUGGUAAGCAGAACUGGCGCUGUGGAUGAACCAAACGUUGGGUUAAGGUGCCUAACUUCUCGCUCAUGAGACCCCAUAAAAGGCGUUGGUAUAUAUGGACAGCAGGACGGGGCCAUGGAAGUCGGUACCCGCUAAGGAGUGUGUAACAACUCACCUGCCGAAUCAACUAGCCCUGAAAAUGGAUGGCGCUUGAGCGAGAGACCUAUACCCAGCCGUUGCUGGCUUGUGCGUUGUCUAUCGCCUGGCCGCAACGAGUAGGAGGACGUGGCGGUUGCGUCGAAGGCUUUGGGCGUGAGCCCAGCUGGAGCUUCCGUCAGUGCAGAUCUCGGUGGUAGUAGCAAAUAUUUAAGUUCGAUCCUUGAAGACUGAAGUGGAGAAGGGUUCCACGUGAACAGUAGUUGAAUGUGGGUCAGUCGAUCCUAAGAUACUGGCUUAUGCCUUGUAUCAUUGAGAGGGAAAAGUUUCUUUCUCUCGAUAUCAAAAGGAAUAGGGUUAAUAUUCCCUAACGCAGACACAGAGAUUGUGACUCAUUGAGUCACUUGCGCGGUAACGCAUUCGAACUUGGUUACGUCGCUCAGAGACCGAGCUAGAGUUCUCCUUCUCUAGUUAAGGAACGGACUCCCUGGAAUCGGUUCAGCCGUAGAUAGGGACGUUGUUUCCGUAAAGCAUCGCGGUUUCUGUGAUGUCUCGUGUUCUCUGGACGGCCCUUGAAAAACCAAGGAAGGCUAUUAAUCUGUGCUGCAUCGUACCGAUAUCCGCAUCAGGUCUCCAAGUGAACAGCCUCUAGUCGAUAGAAUAAUGUAGGUAAGGGAAGUCGGCAAAUUAGAUCCGUAACUUCGGGAAAAAUUGGCUCCAGUGACUGGGUCGGUUGGCCUGUUAACUGAUGCUUGUGCGGUUUCGUCCGUGGCUGGCUGAUGCUUACGCUGAUGCUGGACUAGUGACAAGACUGCCUUGUGACGUUUUCAGGUGUGUGCUUUGUCUUCGGGCUUAGUAUCCUGACCGACCAUCAAAACAGUCGAACUGGAACUGGUACGGACUCGGGGAAUCCGACUGUCUAAUUAAACAGAGAAACAGAUGGUCCUUGCGGACGUUUACUGUCUCUGAUUGUGCCCAGUGCUCUGAACGUUAAUCGAGUAAUUCGAGUAAUCGAGUAAGCNCGGGUAAACGCGGGAGUAACUAUGACUCUCUUAAGGUAGCCAAAUGCCUCGUCAGCUAACUACUGACGCGCAUGGGAAGCGAUUCCAGCUGCCACCUCCGAGAGGUGCUUCCCGGGCAACGUUACACGAGUGUGUAGCGGCCAAGAGCAGCCUUACCUUGGAUAAUAAUAUCCAUUGCAUACCAUGCUCCGUCGAGCAUAGGUAAUGGAAACAAUAGCUAAUUAGCUAUUGCAUUCAUAAAAAGCCUCUUGUAGGCUGGUGUGUCUAGUGCAAAAAGGCAACUGUAGCAGUUGCCACCGCCCGCUUUACAUUUUUUAAUUAUUAAACCACCCAAUAGCGGGCGGUAUAACCUAACGAUCCAAUGCUUGGUUCAAGUGUUGGGUCUCACUAGGGGAAUUAUGCCCCAGUGGCAUAAGAAUAGGAUAUUAAUAAUAAUUAAUAUUUCUCAAUGUUUAAUUUGCAGAUGUCUACUGUAAAGAAAACUAGCAGCAAUGAUGGUGCGGAUAAAUAUGUCGAGGUCGAUAUAGUUUCAUUUAUGAACUGCAUCCGCCCACGGUAAGUCAAUUUAGAUUUACUACAUUAUGGUAAUAGGCUAAUAUUGCACUAUUCCAGAGGACCGAAAUUUUCGGUGAAUAGAAAGAGAAUUAUCAAGCUCGUUGACGAUGCUGCCGCGAAAUCUGUCCAAGA